GCCUUUGUGGUGUAGUGGUCAGCACGCUCGACGCGUAACCGAGAGGUCCGUGGUUCGAUUCCCGGCGAAGGUG
rnacentral:tRNA from 1 species